UACAGAGGGUGCGAGCGUUGUUCGGAAUUACUGGGCGUAAAGCGCGCGCAGGCGGCCUUUUAAGUCUGACGGUGAAAUGCCGGGGCUCAACCCCGUGCCCGCCGGAGAUACUGGGAGGCUGGAGACGAGUAGAGGCAAGCGGAAUUCCGGGUGUAGCGGUGGAAUGCGUAGAGAUCCGGAAGAACACCGGAGGCGAAGGCGGCUUGCUGGGCUCUGUCUGACGCUGAGGCGCGAAAGCGUGGGGAGCGAACAGG
rnacentral:rRNA from 1 species